GGACAGACUGCCAGGAAGUCAAUCCAAAGUUCACAGUUGAUGUGGUGUGCUUGGUUGCUGCUUUGGAACUUGGACAGAUAUUCUCUUCUGCAUGUAAAAUCACCAACAGGGAAGCAUCAGCAUCUUGAGAAGAGGUGGAAAUGGAGAAAUUCAGUAAUCGACUAUACCAUACUUAGUAGGUACAAGGAAGUAAAUUCUGAAAAAGUGAGAUAACAGAAAUGAUGAAGACUGCAGUAUGAAUUCUGGAGUAGACAUGAAUGGACUAGAGUGAAAAAUAGGUGGUGGAAAAGCUGGUAGGCCAUGCAAUGAAAAGCAUACAGACUGAACCGUGGACCUGAUGACAGAAGAGGAGAAAUAGUAUUUCCAGUUACAUAUCAAAGGAGAAGAUAAUUGGUAUGAAGACCCCAUCCAGAAAGAAGUUACCUUAAAGCCAGAGUUCAGAAAGUCUGGUGGCUGCCUGUUGGUCUAUCACCUCAGCUUCUAUCAAUACAGAAGAAGAAAACAAGUCUUUCCUGUUCAGGAAUAGGGAAGUAAUUGUCCCCCUGUACUCAACACUGGUGAGGCCGCACCUCGAGUACUGUGUCCAGUUUUGGGCCCCUCACUGUAAGAAAGACAUCGAGGCCCUGGAGCACGUCCAGAGGAGGGCAACAAAGCUAGUGAGGUGUCUGGAGCACAGGCCUUAUUAGGAGCGGUUGAG
ensembl:lncRNA